rnacentral:rRNA from 1 species
AAAAAACAAGUCCAUAGAACGUCCAAUGUAGGCGCAGCGUAAAACACUGUUUGCUGAAAUUAUAAAACUUAUACAACUUUUAACAACGGAUCUCUUGGCUCUCGCAUCGAUGAAGAACGCAGCGAAAUGCGAUAAGUAAUGUGAAUUGCAGAAUUCAGUGAAUCAUCGAAUCUUUGAACGCACCUUGCGCUCCCUGGUAUUCCGGGGAGCAUGCCUGUUUGAGUGUCAUUAAAUUCUCAACCACACUAUGUUUUUAUUAAUGUAGUUCUUGUGGCUUGGAUCUUGGAGUUUGUGCCGGUAAACCUUUAGUUAGGUUGUUGGCUCCUCUUUAAAUGCAUUAGCUGGNACCUCUUUGUGGUGCCAGACUAUGGUGUGAUAAUUAUCUACGCUGUGGUUUGUUGCGCUGCGAAUUUAACUAUGGGGUUCUGCUUCUAAUCGUCCCUUUCAAAGGACAGUAUAGAGUGUGGUGGUGGGGUUGCUUUCAACGGGGUUCGCCUCUUGUGUUACAAUCUUGCCCUUUACCUCUUAUUGACAUUUUGACCUCAAAUCAGGUAGGACUACCCGCUGAACUUAAGCAUAUCAAUAAGCGGAGGA